rnacentral:lncRNA from 1 species
GCCCAGCUCGCGGGGCGGGGCGGGGCCUGGCGCGCGGCGGCGGCCGGGGCGUUGGGCGGGGGAGACGCCGGGGCGGCCGGGGCGCGCGGCCGCCGACCUGCAGCGCCAGCGGCACCGCCGCCCCCAGCCCGCCCGCCGAGCCCGCCCUCCCGGUGAGCACCCGCCGCCGCGGGGGGAGGGCGCGCAGCCGAGGGGCCGCCGGGGCGCGGGGCGGGGGCAGCGGGCUGGUUGCGGCGAGGCGCGGAGCCGGGCCCGCCGACGGGGAGCGGGGAGCGUGUGCCGAGCGGGGGCCGAGCGGCGGGGCCGGCAGCCGGAAGGUGUCGGCCGCGCUCCCCCGGGUGGCCCCCGCGGGGAGCGAGGGGAGCCCUGCCCGGCUGCGGCCCCGCACGGAGCUGGCGGUGCUCGGGGCUGCGGCGAGAGCCCUUCCCUGCCCGGCCGCCUCCCUUACAUAAUGUCACCUGUGGUACCUGCGGCUCCCUCGUGUCACAGCGGCGGGUGGUCGGUGGUGACGGCAGAGCUGGGCUUUCUCUGAGUUCUAGGUGUGUGAAUCAACCUAUGCUCACUGACUCAUCAGUGUAAUCUUGCUAAUUUGACAACUGUUGUAUGCCAGCCUGUGUCAAUACCAGACCAAGGUGCUCCUGAUCAACCAGAUCUUUCAGAAAUUUUUUAAAAAGAAACCUUGGUGGGUAAAAGAUGUGCCAUGGAAUGGUAGCAUCAAAGAGCAACACAGGAUCAUCUCUUGCCUUGACUGGCCAUGGGUUGUUUCGUCUGCUAGUUAUCUUUGGUUCCUUUGUCUUGGAAGCACAGUCCACAGGUUGGCUAAGCAAAUCCAAAGGACCUUCAUGCUGGUUUGUGUGUACAAGGGAAGAGAGGAAAAACAAGGAUGUUGCCCCUCUGGAUUUGACACUGACAGCAAAGCUGACUAGUCAUCUUUCUCCAUCACCUCCCUCUCUGCAGAAAGCUCCUGGAGCCAAACACCAGUCGUGUCUCAGGCAGAAGGAAAUCUUGUGUGACUGAAGGCCCUGGUUUCAGAAGAAAAAUUCCGUACUGAAAAAGAAGCUUGCAGAUUUUUUUUUGUUUAGCAGUCACCGUGUUUUUCCCCUGUUCCCCUAGAGAACGACACAGCAGGAGAUUUGGGUUAGAGGGACAUGACAAGUAGCUGUAUGUUCUUUGAAUAAACUAGGUGUAUAUAUGCUUUUUAAUCUCUUUUUCUUCUCAAGGCAGGAAACCACCUUUAGCCUAGACUCUGCAGAGCAUAGG